rnacentral:rRNA from 1 species
UACAGAGGAGGCAAGCGUUAUUCGGAAUCACUGGGCGUAAAGCGCACGCAGGCGGAUCGAUAAGUCGGGGGUGAAAGCCCGGGGCUCAACCUCGGAAUUGCCUUCGAUACUGUCGGUCUCGAGUCCGGGAGAGGUGAGUGGAAUUCCUAGUGUAGAGGUGAAAUUCGUAGAUAUUAGGAAGAACACCAGUGGCGAAGGCGGCUCACAGGCCCGGUACUGACGCUCAGGUGCGAAAGCGUGGGGAGCAAACAGG